GGACAUAAAUUACAUGUAGUGAAUAUGAAUCAACAGAGCGAUAGUACAGAUCUGCUUGGAGGGUUUAAACCAGUCGAUAUAAAGUUUCUAAUUUUACCGUUUAGAGAAGAAUUUGAAAUUCUUUUCUGUCAAAGUUUCUCCAGAAAACAAAAUGCCAAAUUUCUUGGACAUAUCCAGGAUUGUUUUUCGAAAAGAAAAUGGUCAGAUUUGCUACAGUUAAUUGAUCAUACAACAACAUCUGCUCUUAAAAAAUUCCAGAAAGAAGAAAUUUUGUUGUCCAAGUGGAAAACGAUUGAGCGACGUCAACAACAGUUAAAGAUCCAGAUAAAACAAACAGAAAAUGUUCUAGCUUUUACUUUUAUUGAGGGGACGUUAGUUAAAGCUAUUAAACAGGGUGAUUGGGUUUUAUUAGAUGAAAUAAAUUUAGCUUCAGCUGAGACUUUAGAAUGUUUGUGUGGACUGUUAGAAAGUACGACAGGUUCCAUUAUACUAACG